rnacentral:misc_RNA from 1 species
GAUUGAUUAGUAGUGUCAUACACAUCCACUAUGAUAGUUUGUUCACUUGCAAGUUGUUGCAGUAGCUUUUCCACAAGCAAUUCGAUAUCAAAGACUCCUCCAAGAUACCCGUCAGUCGCUUGAAUCCUCUCAUUUGGAGUCGCAUUUGAGGGGAUAUCUCUCUUGUAGACAGCAAAUGUCAAUAUAACUCCAAGGCGUUUAGUUUUGAGUAACCUAAA